GCCUAACACAUGCAAGUCGAACGGAAACGAUGGAAGCUUGCUUCCAGGCGUCGAGUGGCGGACGGGUGAGUAAUACUUAGGAAUCUGCCCAGUAGUGGGGGACAACCAGGAGAAAUCCUGGCUAAUACCGCAUACGCACUACGGUGGAAAGUGGGGGAUCUUCGGACCUCACGCUAUUGGAUGAGCCUAAGUCGGAUUAGCUUGUAGGUAGGGUAAUGGCCUACCUAGGCGACGAUCCGUAGCUGGUCUGAGAGGACGAUCAGCCACACUGGGACUGAGACACGGCCCAGACUCCUACGGGAGGCAGCAGUGGGGAAUAUUGGACAAUGGGCGCAAGCCUGAUCCAGCAAUGCCGCGUGUGUGAAGAAGGCCUGCGGGUUGUAAAGCACUUUCAGUAGAGAAGAAAAGCCUAGGGUUAAUACCCCUGAGUCUUGACGUAACCUACAGAAGAAGCUCCGGCUAACUCCGUGCCAGCAGCCGCGGUAAUACGGAGGGAGCGAGCGUUAAUCGGAAUUACUGGGCGUAAAGCGCACGUAGGCGGCUUUGUAAGUCGGAUGUGAAAUCCCCGGGCUUAACCUGGGAAUUGCAUUCGAUACUG
rnacentral:rRNA from 1 species